rnacentral:rRNA from 1 species
GAUGGACCCGCGGCGCAUUAGCUAGUUGGUGAGGUAACGGCUCACCAAGGCGACGAUGCGUAGCCGACCUGAGAGGGUGAUCGGCCACACUGGGACUGAGACACGGCCCUGACUCCUACGGGAGGCAGCAGUAGGGAAUCUUCCGCAAUGGACGAAAGUCUGACGGAGCAACGCCGCGUGAGUGAUGAAGGUUUUCGGAUCGUAAAACUCUGUUGUUAGGGAAGAACAAGUACCGUUCGAAUAGGGCGGCACCUUGACGGUACCUAACCAGAAAGCCACGGCUAACUACGUGCCAGCAGCCGCGGUAAUACGUAGGUGGCAAGCGUUGUCCGGAAUUAUUGGGCGUAAAGCGCGCGCAGCCGGUUUCUUAAGUCUGAUGUGAAAGCCCCCGGCUCAACCGGGGAGGGUCAUUGGAAACUGGGGAACUUGAGUGCAGAAGAGGAGAGUGGAAUUCCACGUGUAGCGGUGAAAUGCGUAGAGAUGUGGAGGAACAC